rnacentral:tRNA from 1 species
UGUUCCAUGAUGUAGUGGCUAGCACAUCUGCUUUACAUGGAGAAGAUCCUGGGUUUGAUCCCUAGUGGAGCCA